UACGUAGGGGGCAAGCGUUGUCCGGAUUUAUUGGGCGUAAAGAGCGUGUAGGCGGUUUGGUAGGUCCGCUGUGAAAACUCGAGGCUCAACCUCGAGAUGUCGGCGGAAACCGUCUGGCUAGAGUCCGGAAGAGGAGAGUGGAAUUCCCUGGUGUAGCGGUGAAAUGCACAGAUAUCAGGAAGAACACCUAUGGCGAAGGCAGCUCUCUGGGACGGUACUGACGCUGAGACGCGAAAGCGUGGGGAGCGAACAGG
rnacentral:rRNA from 1 species